rnacentral:rRNA from 1 species
CCUACGGGAGGCAGCAGUAGGGAAUAUUGCUCAAUGGGGGAAACCCUGAAGCAGCAACGCCGCGUGAAGGAUGAAGGUUUUCGGAUUGUAAAAUCCUUUUGUUAGAGAAGAUAAAGACGGUAUGUAACGAAUAGGCACCGGACAACACCGUGCCAGCAGCCGAGGUAAUACGUAGGGUGCAAGCGUUACUCGGAAUCACUGGGCGUAAAGAGCGCGGAGGUGGGAUAGCAAGUCAGAUGUGAAAUCCUAUGGCUUAACCAUAGAACUGCAUUUGAAACUGUUAUUGGAGAGUAGGGGAGAGGUAGGUGGAAUUCUAGGUGUAGGGGUAAAAGGCGUAGAGAUCAAGAGGAAUACUCAUUGCGAAGGCGACCUGCUAGAACAUAACUGACGCUGAUGCGCGAAAGCGUGGGGAGCAAACAGGAUUAGAUACCCUAGUAGUC